rnacentral:lncRNA from 1 species
CAUAUUUUAUCUCUAAUUUUUGAAGUUUCAUCGUUAAUGAAUUAUAAAUGAAAGGGGGAGCAAUUCAAAAAGUCAAAUUGGCAAUAUUUAAAUGAAAUAGGGGGAGAUUUCACUCUUAUAUAUAAAAAGCUGAAAUUCAGCAAGUUAAGCCCUUUUAAAAACUGAUCUUAAAGACAAGUAUCAAUAGGCUCAUACUCUUUAUUUUGUAAUCAUCAAAAAGGGGGAAUUGAGGAUGAUAGUGUUAUUUUGAUGAUUAACAAGCAAUUAUCUAGAGUAUGUUAUAAGUUAAAUUGAUACUUCAUUUAUAAGACUAUUACUCU